CAAGUUGAGCGAGAAAAGGGGAGCAAUCCCCUGAGUACAGCGGCGCACGGGUGAGUAACACGUGGGUAAUCUGCCCUGAAGUGGGGAAUAACACCGGGAAACCGGUGCUAAUACCGCAUAUGAUCACGGUGUCUGCGGACACAGGGAUGAAAGGAGCAAUUCGCUUCAGGAGGAGCCCGCGGCUGAUUAGCUAGUUGGUGAGGUAAUGGCUCACCAAGGCAACGAUCAGUAUCCGGUCUGAGAGGACGGUCGGACACACUGGAACUGAGACACGGUCCAGACUCCUACGGGAGGCAGCAGUGGGGAAUUUUUCGCAAUGGGGGCAACCCUGACGAAGCAACGCCGCGUGGAUGAUGAAGUAUCUCGGUACGUAAAAUCCUUUCGACAGGGAAGAAACCGCAAGGUUGACGGUACCUGUAGAAGAAGCCCCGGCUAACUCCGUGCCAGCAGCCGCGGUAAUAUGGGGGGGGCUAGCGUUGUUCGGAAUUACUGGGCGUAAAGGGCGCGUAGGCGGUCUGCUAAGUUGGAUGUGAAAACUCUGGGCUUAACCCAGAGCCUGCAUUCAAUACUGACAGGCUAGAGUUCUGGAGGGGAUAGCGGAAUUCCUGGUGUAGCGGUGAAAUGCGUAGAUAUCAGGAGGAACACCGGUGGCGAAGGCGGCUAUCUGGACAGAAACUGACGCUGAGGCGCGAAAGCUGGGGGAGCAAACAGGAUUAGAUACCCUGGUAGUCCUAGCCCUAAACGAUGGAUACUUGGUGUAGCUGGGAUUGAAUCCAGCUGUGCCGAAGCUAACGCAUUAAGUAUCCCGCCUGGGGAGUACGGUCGC
rnacentral:rRNA from 1 species